GACGUAGGGCGCGAGCGUUGUCCGGAUUUACUGGGCGUAAAGAGCGCGCAGGCGGUCGAUCAAGUCGAGUGUGAAAGCCCCCGGCUCAACUGGGGAGGGUCAUUCGAUACUGAUCGACUCGAAGGCAGGAGAGGGUAGUGGAAUUCCCGGUGUAGUGGUGAAAUGCGUAGAUAUCUAGAGGAACGCCUGAGGCGAAAGCGGGGCACUGGGCCGAUACUGACGCUGAGACGCGAAAGCGUGGGGAGGCAAACAGG
rnacentral:rRNA from 1 species